rnacentral:rRNA from 1 species
UACGGGGGGGGCAAGCGUUGUUCGGAAUUACUGGGCGUAAAGGGCUCGUAGGCGGCCAACUAAGUCAGACGUGAAAUCCCUCGGCUUAACCGGGGAACUGCAUCUGAUACUGGAUGGCUUGAGUUCGGGAGAGGGAUGCGGAAUUCCAGGUGUAGCGGUGAAAUGCGUAGAUAUCUGGAGGAACACCGGUAGCGAAGGCGGCAUCCUGGACCGACACUGACGCUGAGGAGCGAAAGCCAGGGGAGCAAACGGG